UAAGUUGAUGGUUGGCUGAUCUGAACCUGUCAUUUUCUUCUUUCACAGUUCCAAUUACAGCUAAAGACAACUAACCAUCUCUACAGACUUUUGCUACCAUAUUGCUCAAGUGCCAGAGCUAUUGCAUAAGCUGAUGUGUCUCCUUCCAGAGGACUCCAUCUCAGUUCACUGCAUAUGAGGAUCUUACAGAACUCAACUGCAAAAUGAGUAUGACGAGAAUCUUAUGGAAUCUUUCAAAACUCCACUCAACACCAACUAUGGGGUCUUGUGACCAUUGGGCUGAGCACUUUCACAUGUAUCAGACCAGCUGACCCUCCUAACAGCCCAGUGAAGACAACGAGGGUGGAGAAUUCUGCAGAAUUUCAGAAGCACUGGCUUAGUGCCAUG